GGUCCUGUAGCUCAGUUGGUUAGAGCAUUGGUCUUAUGAGCCAAAGGUCGCGAGUUCGAGCCUCGCCAGGACCA
rfam:Nelumbo nucifera unplaced genomic scaffold scaffold00014, whole genome shotgun sequence